rnacentral:tRNA from 1 species
GCCCUGGUGGUGUAGCCGGGACUAACAUGCAGGCCUGUCGAGCCUGCGCCCCGGGUUCAAAUCCCGGCCAGGGCGCCA